CCCUUAGAUGUUCUGGGCAGCACGCGCGCUACAAUGGUCUUCGCAAACGGAUGCAUUCUCGAAUGAGAAUGCCAAUCUUGGAAUCUAUGCCUUGGUCGGGACAGUUGCUUGCAAUUUUUCGACUCGAACCAGGAAUUCCUUGUAAUCGUGAUUCAUCACAUCACGAUGAAUACGUCCCUGCCCUUCGUACACACCGCCCGUCGCUCCUACCGAUCGAAGAGUUAGGUGAAUUGUUUUGAUCGAUAAGAUUUGACUAUGGUCAACUCUCGUUGUGAAAUUCUGUGAAUCUGACUGUUUAGAGGAAGGAAAAGUCGUAACA
rnacentral:rRNA from 1 species